GUGACAUCUUUUCAAUACUCUUCUGUUCUCUUAUAACCUCAAAUAUUACAACUGUAAAUAGACCAUAUUUUGAUGUAUGAACAGCAAAAAUAAAAAAAUAAAAAAGUAAAAAGCAAGUAAAAGAGUUAUGCAUAUUAGACAUUGUUUGGCACUCAGAAAGAGUAAUGUCAUUUGCUUAAGCAUGAUGCUUAAAACUAUAAGUAAUGCUUUCAAGUAAUGACCUUUCAAAAGAGGAGUAAUCAUAAAACCUGAAAGGUAAGUGAUUUAACUAACUGUUUAUUUAUAAUAGGUAAAAAAGGCAGUCCUUAAUCUCUGUUAAAAAAAAAAAUUUAUUUAUAUCUUUAUCUAUUUAUAGCGUUAUCUCCAGUUCCUUCCAUUCCCAGCCGGCCUCAUAGCAACCACAUGUCCAUCCAUAUUAAAAUUCCUGAUGCAAAGAGUCAUUCAUCCGGUUUUUGAUGCUAAGCAAGAUCAAAGCCUGAGGGGACAGUGAUGCCCAAAGAAGGACAAUCAUUCUUAAAUGAAAUAU